GUGAAUAAUAGAAUACUGAGCAUAAAUUAUUUUGGAUCAAUACCCUAAUAUUAAAAAGAAAAAAGUGAAGUGAAAAACAAAUAUGGCGUAUUUUAAAAGAUUAUUUUUUUUCGUGUGCCUUUUAUUGUUUGUUGAGAUCGCAACAUCUCACUGGAUAGGCGGAUACGGAAGGCCGGUUAUAGUGGGUGGCUUUGGAGGCUUUGGCGCAGUGGGCUACGGCUACGGUGGUUAUGGCUAUGGGGGGUACGGCGGCUAUGGAGGGUGGAGACGGUGGGGGCCCCCUCCCCCGCCGCCCCCGCCCCCAUUUUGGGGGUGAAGAUUAAAUAAAGGACCAGAUUAUGACGCCUAUUAGUCAGGACGUUUGUGUUUGUGACGGUUUUAUAAAUCUUACUAAUAUUAUAAAUGUGAAAGUUUGUGAGUAUGGAUGUUUGGAUGUUUGUUACUCUUUCACGCAAAAACUGCUGAACCGAUUUUGAUGAAAUUUGGUCAUUAUCAUCAAUUUAAGAGCCACGCUCUUGUCGGUGCAGCAUUUUCCAUGCUACUUUUUUAGGGAAAAAUAGGGCAGUGGUUUCCCUCUUGCCUUCCGCCCCGCAGUACUCUGUCUGACGCAAGUGGGAUGGCGCUCAGAGUAGUCUAUUACAAAGCCAUACUAGGACUGCUGUCCUUCGCCUCUGAAUAGUACUACCAGUUAAGACUUACCAGUAAAGAUAAAUUAGACUGGUUUUAUAUUAUUUUGGGUUGGAUUAAAAUGGCGCAUAACAAUCGAUGCUACUUAAUAUUUACUUACCAUUUGUUUUUUUUUUGUCUUACCAUUUUUUUUUCUUUAGUUCGAUUUGCUACCACACCAUUCACUAUAUGGCCGAGCAAGUGGGAACGGAUAAAAGGAAAGGGGAGGGUACUAAAUAACGACAUUGCAGACAAAAAUGAUAUAAUGUAACAUGAAAUAUAUUUAGUACAAGUUAUAUAGUAGGUAGUUAUCCAUAUACUAACAUAACGUAUGUAUACAUAUAUAUGUGAAAUAUAUAUUUUUAAUAUAUAUUCUGAGAUCAACCGGUAACGACGCUAUUUUGAAGCCGCCUCACAAAGUUUUUUAGGCCAUAACAGUUUUUAUUCCUUUUUUCAAAAAAUAAAGAUGGCGAAUAAAAAAUUAAGAAGAUAUUUGAUAUCUUUAACAGUAGAAGAAAUCUUUGGCAGAAAAAUAUGUUUUUAUAUAUUUCAUAUAUUUUCAGAAAAUAUUUAGACAUCAUCACAAUUCUUAGGCUAAAGUUUUUGUUAACUAUUUUUUUUUAAUUCAACAGAGUAAUGAAAAAAGUGAUAUGUUGUCAAAAGUGAUUUUUUAAUUACACCUAGUUAAAAAAAAAACUUUUAUUAACCAUAUUGAUAUGUUUUUUUAUCACCUAGCAUAUUGGAAUCAAAAAAUUGUUUUCUUAAACUUAUUACAAUAUAAUAUAUAGAAAAUAUAAAGCGAAAAAAAUUAUGUUACACUUAAUUCUAAAGAGUUAAUCUAAGACUACAAUAAUGAUAUGCAUUACAAUUAUUUAAGAUUUUUAACAUCAAUAUUUUUUUUAAAACUAUGUUAAAUGCCCCAGCCAGAUGGAUAUGUAUUCGUUUCAAAGUUCGAAGACUUAUUUUUAAUUAAUUACUAAUUAUAAUUUUAUUUUUAAUUAAAGAUAGACAUUAAAAUGUAACUAUAAAUGCGACUAUGAUACUCGCAUUAUGAAACAUUCAUAAGUGUGGAUUAAUACGAUUAAACACUCAUUUAUUAUAUUAAUUAAUAUUUUUAAUCUACAAUCUACACAUUAAAACUAAAUUGAGAACUAAAAAAACUUCUUGUCUAUGCAA